UAGAUGAAGCAAACCACCUACUCUCUA
rnacentral:sRNA from 1 species